CCGGCCUACGGGACGCAGCAGUGGGGGAUAUUGCACAAUGGGGGGAACCCUGAUGCAGCGACGCCGCGUGGGUGAAGAAGCGCCUCGGCGCGUAAAGCCCUGUCAGCAGGGAAGAAAAUGACGGUACCUGAAGAAGAAGCCCCGGCUAACUACGUGCCAGCAGCCGCGGUAAUACGUAGGGGGCAAGCGUUAUCCGGAUUUACUGGGUGUAAAGGGGGCGCAGACGGCGAUGCAAGCCAGGAGUGAAAGCCCGGGGCCAAACCCCGAGACAGCGCUUGGAACUGCGUGGC
rnacentral:rRNA from 1 species